rnacentral:rRNA from 1 species
UCAGGAACGCGAAGAACCUUACCUACCCUUGACAUACAGCGAACUUGGCAGAGAUGCCUUGGUGCCUUCGGGAACGCUGAUACAGGUGGUGCAUGGUUGUCGUCAGCUCGUGUCGUGAGAUGUUGGGUUAAGUCCCGCAACGAGCGCAACCCUUGCCUUUAGUUGCCAGCAUUAAGUUGGGCACUCUAGAGGGACUGCCGAGGAUAACUCGGAGGAAGGUGGGGAUGACGUCAAAUCAUCAUGCCCCUUAUGCUUAGGGCUACACACGUGCUACAAUGGGUGGUACAGAGGGUUGCCAAGCCGCGAGGUGGAGCUAAUCCCUUAAAGCCAUUCUCAGUUCGGAUUGUAGGCUGAAACUCGCCUACAUGAAGCUGGAGUUACUAGUAAUCGCAGAUCAGAAUGCUGCGGUGAAUGCGUUCCCGGGCCUUGUACACACCGCC